UACGUAGGGUCCGAGCGUUGUCCGGAAUUACUGGGCGUAAAGAGCUCGUAGGUGGUUUGUCGCGUUGUUCGUGAAAACUCACAGCUCAACUGUGGGCGUGCGGGCGAUACGGGCAGACUUGAGUACUGCAGAGGAGACUGGAAUUCCUGGUGUAGCGGUGGAAUGCGCAGAUAUCAGGAGGAACACCGGUGGCGAAGGCGGGUCUCUGGGCAGUAACUGACGCUGAGGAGCGAAAGCGUGGGGAGCGAACAGG
rnacentral:rRNA from 1 species